rnacentral:rRNA from 1 species
CGCUGGCGGCAUGCUUUACACAUGCGAGUCGAACGGCAGCGGGGGCUUCGGCCUGCCGGCGAGUGGCGAACGGGUGAGUAAUGCAUCGGAACGUGCCCAUGUCGUGGGGGAUAACGUAUCGAAAGGUACGCUAAUACCGCAUACGUCCUGAGGGAGAAAGCGGGGGAUCGCAAGACCUCGCGCGAUUGGAGCGGCCGAUGUCGGAUUAGCUAGUAGGUGAGGUAAAGGCUCACCUAGGCGACGAUCCGUAGCGGGUCUGAGAGGAUGAUCCGCCACACUGGGACUGAGACACGGCCCAGACUCCUACGGGAGGCAGCAGUGGGGAAUUUUGGACAAUGGGGGCAACCCUGAUCCAGCCAUGCCGCGUGAGUGAAGAAGGCCUUCGGGUUGUAAAGCUCUUUCGGCCGGGAAGAAAUCGCGUUGGCUAAUACCCAGCGUGGAUGACGGUACCGGAAUAAGAAGCACCGGCUAACUACGUGCCAGCAGCCGCGGUAAUACGUAGGGUGCGAGCGUUAAUCGGAAUUACUGGGCGUAAAGCGUGCGCAGGCGGUUUUUUAAGAUAGGCGUGAAAUCCCCGGGCUCAACCUGGGAACUGCGCUUAUGACUGGAAGACUAGAGUAUGGCAGAGGGGGGUGGA